AACGAACGCUGGCGGCAUGCCUAACACAUGCAAGUCGAACGAGACCUUCGGGUCUAGUGGCGCACGGGUGCGUAACGCGUGGGAACCUGCCCUUAGGUUCGGAAUAACUCCCCGAAAGGGGUGCUAAUACCGGAUAAUGUCUUCGGACCAAAGAUUUAUCGCCUUUGGAUGGGCCCGCGUUGGAUUAGCUAGUUGGUAGGGUAAAAGCCUACCAAGGCGACGAUCCAUAGCUGGUCUGAGAGGAUGAUCAGCCACACUGGGACUGAGACACGGCCCAGACUCCUCGGGGAGGCAGCGGGGGGAAAUAGUGAAAAAGGGGAGAAAGCCUGACCCAGCAUGGCCGGGGGAGUGAGGAGGGCCUUGGGGUUGAAAAGUUCUUUUCCCCGGGAGGAUAAUGACAGUACGGGGAGAAUAAGCCCCGGCUAACUCCGUG
rnacentral:rRNA from 1 species